rnacentral:sRNA from 1 species
UAUGUCUUUAUAUAUUUAUAUAGUUAUAUUUUUAUAUUUUUUAUAUUUCUUAUAUUUCCGGAUAAAUAUUUAUUUAUUUAUUUUUUAUUUUUUUUUUUUUUUUAUUUCCAAUAAUGAAAUUUAUGAAGUGUUAUUUUAUGCAAUUAUGGGUAUGUACACAAUACAUAUACACACACACAAAAAAAAAAAAAAAAAAAAAAAAAAACAUAUAAUUUUCAAAGGAGGGUUAUAUAUCAAAAGUAUUUGAAUAGAUCAUCUAUUUUUUUUUUUUUUUAUGAAGAAUCCUUAAAAUAUAUAUAUUUGUAAUUUCUUACAAUAUAUAUACUAAGUCACAUUUGAGGAAGACCCAAAAAAGAAAAGAAAAAAAAACAAAAAUAAUAAGAAAUGAACGUUAAUGUAUAUAAAGGAAUAAAUACAUACAAAGCUAUAUAAUAAUAAUUUACUGUGUAUAUAUAUCUUUUGUUUUCUUUCAUUAUAUAUAUAUAUAUAUUUAUAAAUUUUUUUUUUUUUUCCUAAAAUGUAAUUAGUGUUUUGUAUCAAUAUAUUAUAAAAAAAUUUUCUAUGUUUAUAUAUAUAUAUAUAUAUAUAUAUAUAUAUAUACAUAUUUGCUCAUUUUUUUUUUUUUUAUUUUAUUUUAUAUGCAUCCUUUUUAAUAAAUGAAGUUGAUAUAUUAAUUCAUCGCUUACAUUGAAAGUAGUAUAACUUAAAACCUAAAAGAAAAAAAAAAGACCAAAGCAAAAGAAAAAUUAUGAAUAAAACAAUAUUUUCAAUUUAAAAUAAAUAAAUAUAAAUAUAUAUAUUUAAUAUAUUUGUAGUAUAAUUAUAUAAAAUGGACAUUU